GGUGCUCCUUUUAUCGAAUCCCUAUCAGACCAUCCGUUUCAUAAGCCUACGUCAUAACACGUUGUGUAUAAUUUUGUAUAGACAGCCUGAUGAAAUACAGAGCCUGGAUAGCCCCAACCACCUCACUCGUAUGCAUCAUAGAACAUGGAGGUCGAAAAGCAGUCAGGCCCAUUCUAUUUCCUCUUCUCUCUCAACUCUAAUCCCGUGUCGAAGCGCAUCUCGAUCCCCACCGGCCACCGCCUCCGCUCUGGCCGGCCCCGCCGCGACUCCCCGACCGACGGCGCCACCAGCCGCCGCCGCCCUGACGAGGUCGCGGUUGCUAUCGGCGUCUCCCUGCUAGGCCCUCUCCCCGCGGCCAGAGGAGCUCGUGGUUGUGCGCGUGAGGCUCGCUCGGUCCGUGCCCAUGGCUGUGGUGCGCGCCCCCACGUCGUCCGCAUCAGGUGCUAACAGGGACGGAGCAGGUCGGCGCUGCUGUCUUGGAUAACCUGACCCCAUUCCAGUAGAGGUGACACCAUAGCACUCUUUGUGGAGCUUCGUCCCUGGCUGCUAGGCGAAUAAUGCAGAUCAACAUCACAGAAUGCAUCAUGGCAUGGAUUUCUCAUUUGAGCUGUCAUCUUGAACCAUAAUUUGCGGUAGAUGUGGUGGCAGUAAUGAAUUACUCAAAUAUUGCAUCUAUCCCAAACCAAUUUGUCAAACAGGGGUUUACCGUAAACUCUUGCUGGCUGGAUAAUAUUGAUAACCACGGAUGAAUGAUAUUACACAAAGUAAUGAUGAUGCAAGGGAGCGCAUCCAGUUUUGCUGAAGAUCGCCUCCACGCUGCUAACAUUGAACUUACCAUGUUGGAUUAAGCAAUGCUGCCACACUUGUGUAGAUGCCCGAACAUGUAAAUUAUGUCUAAAUCCAUUAGUAGUAUAUCAAAACUCCAAGAUCCCCAGAGCCUGCAAUCUUUACGUUCACUGCUGGACAAUCUCAUCUAAAUCAAAGACAUCCAUGUUCAACUGUUUUACAUUUUAUUCUGCUAA